UUUCCCCGUCUGCCCCCCUUUCCCCUUCUUUUUCCCCCAAAUCACAAGCACCUGGGCUCUGCCACCACCACCUCCCUCCCCAGGUGUCGUUGCUUUGCCCUCCUUGCCACGCUCCUCUAUUUCCCCCCAGCGAAGGGAGGCAGCCCCCAGCUGCCCCUGUCCGGGCUGGAGGGCUGCUCGGUGGUCCCUGAGGGACGCUCGUCCUGGCAGCACGGUGGCAGCUGAAGACACAGGGAGGUGACUGGGUGCCACCAGGCUGCCUCUUGUUAGGGCAGAAGGAGCUGGGAGGUGCCAAAAAGCUCCCAGGUGGCUUUUGACAUCCCAGCACGUGGCCUGGGAAAGAGAAGGUGAAAUGCUGCUGCGUGCUGGCGGUGCUGUGAAGCCUCCAGGGGAUGCUGGUGCCUCCUGCUGCUGGGGGCUGGGGCCAGCCCCUGGGGUGCUGGUGCCCACUGUGGGCACUGGGUGAAGCUGCUGACAUCAAGUGUUGUGAGGGGUGCUGGAAUUUCUCAUCUGGAACUUCUUUUUUUCCUCAGAAAAAAAGAAUCAGAGUGGAUUUCUUUUUACAGCGCUUUCUUGAUUCCAUUUCCUCUGAGCUGAGAGUGUGCCCCGUGUGAGGGGACGCAGGUGGCAGCCUGGGCUUUGAGGCCCUCGUGUCUCCGCUCCUGCAGCCGCGCUCCAGGCCCUGUCAGCAAACCCUAGGGAAGGCCGAGCGUCCUCUGCUGCUCUUCCAGCACCACUCCUUUCCUUAACAAACAAAGGAUGCGCCUGGGGGAAUCCAAACCCCAAAUGCAGAGAAGAUAACCCUGGUAACUUCUGAGCCCUGGAUAUCUGAGCAGGAUGGCAUCCCAGAAGAGAGAUCUUAAGGGAUACUCCAUACAAAUACCCAAAGACAAACCCCUUCUCCCUAAGCUGGUCGUUGUCCUCAGAGCUGGUCUGAGAUCUUGCCUGGGCUGCAGGCUGGGAGGUACAGGAACUGCUGAGGCCAGGUCCAGCUGAAGUUACACCACUGAAAACCGGUGAAGUAAACAGGAAUAACAUCUAAUUUCCCAUGUUCAGGCUGAUGGAAAAAUUUCCCUUGCUGUCUUCAAGUUUGUAUUUGUGCUUUCUGUUUCUUGCCUCCAGUGAUGGAAGCCCUUUGGUUCAGACACAAAAGAACAAACUGACACGAGAGUUAUUUUGAAGGGACCGUGAGGUGCUCCAAGUAUUGUGUCACUGCAAUGGGGAGAAAGCACGACUUACUGAAAUGAACCAGAAAUAGCUCUUUUGUUGCUGUGCUUGCUGAUUGAUGGAGGAAAAGCAAUACAAAACUUGCUGCUUGUAACAGAUUUGCAACCACGGCACAGGAAGAAAGCUCGGGGAAGCGGGGACACUGCCAACAAGCAAAGGAACACCAGCCAUGCUGCCUGCUGCCCACAUCACCCCCACUUUAUUUAAAUGGCUUUCAUGCAGGUGUUUGGAUCAGAUAAAACAUCACAAAUGUCAGAUCUUUAAGGCGGAAGGGGUCAGAGUGGAGGUGGCUGCUCUCAUGCCCCGGUGUUGUCGCACUUGGCAGCAAGUGGCACAGAUACAAAGGCGAUCACUCACCUUUUGGGCUGAUCCUUUUCAAAUUCCUUAUUGCCAGUUGAGUGAGGCUGGGAUGGACAACUGAUGUGGGCCGGACGGACAGAUGGUCUGCCAUGGCUUCGGCAGUGCCACAGGAUGGUGACAAACAGCACGGAGCAGCAUGGCCGAGAAAAAGCAGCACACACUCAAGGGAGACACAAUAAAACCCUCUCACACUAGAAAAGAGCUGGCACUUUAUUAACAUUUUGUAACUAAUAAAUACAUUACCGACAGCCAAUAAAUUAUUAUACUCGCUAACGCUCUAUUAAACCAACGGACAGUCACUCUUCGUACAAAAUUACAGUUAAUACAGGCCGGGCCAUCGAACAUGCAGGAGGAACGGUUCAACAGGGAGGCAGCACGAGGAAGCCCCCGGCGAUCCGUUGGGAAGAGGUCGGUGGCGGAGAGGGGACAGCAGGCAGGGCGGCCCGGAGGCACGGUGAUGGUCACUGUUCCCUUGUUGAGCUGGAGGGAGGGGAAAGGGAGGCGAGGGGAGAGGGCAGUGGGUGUUAAAUCAGGGAAUGGGGUUUUAAUGGGGUGGUGCCUUGUCUUUAAACUUGAGGCGCGUGUGAGGCGGAGAGGGUGAGGCUGUCCUGGGUGAGCUGUGGUCCUGGAGCUGGGCUGGUUUGGGGGAAUGAGGUGGUCCCAGAAAGUGAGAGGGGUUGGCACGGUCCUGGGGAGAGGGUGGUGAGGGACCUCGUGCUGGUACCUGCUGUGCUCCCCUCUCCCCACCUGGAGCCCUGCAUUCGGGGGCAGAGCCUCCUGCCAGUGCCACGGGGCAGCCAGGAUUUGGUUGUGAGACUAAUAUUAAGGCUCUGUCAGGGUGUGUGAUGCAGCUGUGGCUUCUGACUUUUUUUGGGGGGGUGCAAUAUUGCAAAUCACAGAGAGAGAGAAGGUCCCAGCAGGGGACCUGAGCUGGCUUCUCCCAGCUGCAGGGUGCCAGCUGGGAGGCUCUGGUCCUCCUCCAGCAGAUGCGCUGGCCUUCAAGGGCCAGCACGUGUGCCCUGCCAUGGGCAGCAUGGAUUAAGAUCUCCCCAGAGAGCCCCCAGGCUGCUGGCUUGGACACGAGCAGCCCUGGGAGAAGUCCCUCUACAUAGGCACAUUCUCAGCACAGCCUCUUAUAUAGGUCACAUACCUGUAUCUGUCAGCAUCAAUUACACCGUGCCAUCGCAGGCGCUCAGAAAUUAUCAUGUACAAUCGAGUCUUGGUGCUUUUGGGAGUGUUUCUGUCUGCUCUUUCCUCAGGGGAAAUGGAGGCAAGACCACGGUCUGCCCUUUUGGGCAGCCUGUGCUGGGGAUGUGCUGGGCUGUGUGUGAUGGGGUCGGGAGUUUCCUGGCUGGUUCAGGGUGGUGCUGUGCAGCACCGUCCCUGCUGACCUGGACACUUCCAUCAAUGGGUAUUUCAGGCUCCUUGGAAAUGGUUGGGGAGUUUUUGGUCAUAGGCCUGAAGCCAAACCUGGCCCAUGACAAAGACGCAGACAUAACAGUGCUACUCUUAUCUAACAGAGCUGAUGCUCAGCUUCGUUCCCAGGAGCUCUGCCACAAAUAUCUCGCAUGCCAUGGUGCAGGGUCUGGCAAACUGGGGUGAUCUGGCAAAAGGACAUCUUAUGGGGCUAAUCCUCACCUCUUGGGGACUGCUCCUGGCCUGGAAGCAAAGCUCGUUCCAUGCCAUAAUCAAUUAAAACCACCAAAUAUAUUUUAGCACAUGUUACAGUAUAGGCUGCUCUCGUUAAUACUUCUGGUGUCCUUUAAAACAAAAUCGUGUGUCCUGAGGACAUCCUCCGAGGCCGUUCUCCCCUCUGUGGAGGUCCAGGCUGUGGUCCAGUUCUGGAGCCUGGGGUUUGCCUGCAUUGUGCUGCACCUGGACCCCGUGCCUGUGCCUCGCUGAGAAAGUAAGGAGAGCCCCAAGCAAGGAUGAGGGCAAGCAGCGAAUUCUCACGAACUCCUGAGAGAAAUGGGAGUACUGGGAAGCAUUUUUUGGAGGCUGCUGGGGCACCGCAGGAGGCAGCGGGGAUGGGCCUGCAGAUAGGCAGCCAGAUGGCCCCGCAGAGAGCUUGCACUUCCCUGGGCCACCUGUGAAAGCCAGAGCAAGGUAAGAAAAAAAGCUGGCCUUUGGGAUAGGGAGCUGUAUGUGCAGGUGUGCUUUCCUGGCCUGUAUUUAUUGCUGUAAGCCCCACUACUGCUGUCUCCUAUGUGAGGUGGUUGCACAUCCCAGUGCCUCAUGUAUGGGUUCAUUGCAAGCUUUUCCUUCCACAGGUUUCUCUAUUCUGUUGAAAUUGCUUUUUAAAUAAGGGUCCUAUGGGAAUUUUUUCAUCUUGUGUAUCCACACACCCAACCGUCUCGUUGCUGAUGGAGCACAAGGAGGGUUUCUUUCUUUCUGCUGCUGCCUGAAGCUCACCGUGACUUGUCAGAGCUGCUCUGAACGUGGUGCCACGUGGAUGCUGGUGUUGGGCCGGGUCCUCAAAACCUGCAUCCAUCGAGCCUCCAGCAGGCAUGCCGAAAUCAGGCACCAUUUGCACGUUCCCCUGUUAGCUCUGGAGGGUAGGGAGGUGUACACGCAACGUUUCUAGGCAAUUCCUGCAAGGACUGCCAGGGUUGAGGACUGAGAAAAAGCACUGGGCAAAAAACUGCCUGCGAAAGGCACAUCUGUCAGAAAGAGCCUGGGAGGGAUGCAGAAACCCAGUGGUGAGUAAUGCUUUGGCAGGCAUUCUUGGAGACAAAAAAAAAAAAAAAAAAACCAAAACAAAAAAAAAA